rnacentral:lncRNA from 1 species
CAAGUCUUGUAAAUAUAAAAGUCUCAAUCUUUCAUAGCAUUACUGCCUCAUGAAAACCAUUGAUCAAGCUUUUCCCUUUAAGAAAUAGCUUUUGGAUAUUUUAUUGGAAGAAUGAGCUGUUGAUUAUAGAUAAGUGACUUAAACAUGACUGAAACUGAAUUUCCUAAAUGAUUUUUUAGGUUCCCAGAAGUCAUGGUACAAAUUUGAUGGUACAAGUGUUUAUAUGGCAGGUGACUCAGAGCAUGUUUUGCUGUUUUGGAAAACUAAAAGUUCAAGAAGCCUGGAAGUUCUCCUUUUAGAAAAAGAGCACUACUUUUAGGCUUGACUAAUGUUAAUGUAUGUAUGAUUAACAUUUAGUCGAAAUUAAAAUUCUAGGCUGAAGCUAUAGCUCAGUGGUAGAGCACUGCUUAAUUAUUGUUCAAGGUCCUAAAUUUGAUCCCCAACACCACAAACAUAAAUUUAAAAAAUAUAAUUCUUAAUACUGCAAUCCUCAGCAUGACCAAUGAAUAAUGUAGAAAUCAGUACCUGCGCUUUAUAUUUUUUGGUGAUGAUAAAGUAUAUUUUAAGUAACUGAAUUUUAAUAUUUGUAAACUCAUGAAUGAAUUAGAAAGAAACAUACUAAAAGAGGUCUUAGUAGGUAUAAAUGGCUGUGGUUGCCUUCAAUAUAAAAGAUUAUAGAUAUUCAUGCACAUAUGUUCAAACAUAAGCAAAUAUGCAGUUUUGUUUUGCUCCUGUUAUUUUAUCAUAUUACUUAUUACAAAUGAUUUAAUACUGUUGUGAUAGUCAAUACUGUAAGUUUUUUACUGUUAUAAUUCUGUGUUUCUUUAUCACAUCUUCCUAGACAUCAACCCAGAAAUACAGUGGUACUUUGGAUCAUGAACUUAUUUCUUUCCACAAUUCUGGUCGCAAACCAAAUUGGACAAGAAUCAAAUCAAAUUUCCCCAUGGGUUAACCAUUGAAUUUGAUUCAGUUCUCAUCCAAUUCAGUUUGCAACCAGAAUUACGGAAAGAAUUAAGUUCAUGAACCAAGGUACCACUGUACAAAUUUUGAAAGCAGCAGCCCUACUAUUUUAAAUUAGAUAUUCAUUGCUACAUGGAAUAGAUAUUUUUCAAGGGUUCUUAUUAUUCUUCAAUGCUGGGCCCCUCUUUUCAGAAUAAUGUUUUUAAAUCAUUAAAAUAGACAGGAUUAUUAAAGUCAAUUAUUUUGAAACAUACUCAAAAUAUUUUUGAAAUUUGUGAUGUGCUUUAAUUUAUACAUUAAAUGACAAGAUCUACCAACAGUCUAAUAGCUAUUAUAUAAUUGUUUCUCGGCCUUUUGGCUAAGAUCAAGUCUAUUAGCUAUUAUAUUUUCAAGUUGUGAUAAAGAUAAAUGACUUUACAAGAUAUCUGUAACAUCUAUACUAUGAUAGGAAAAGAUCUGUGUUUUCUAUUGGUGACAUCAGUGAUAAGUCAAAGGAACUGUUAAUAAUACUAGAUGUCUUCUGUCUAUUUAUAACGGAGAGAGAUACUAAAUUUCAGUUGAAUGAAAGUAAGACUAUAUUAGGGUUCUCUAGAAGAACAGAUUCAAUAUAAAAUAUAUACAUGAUUAACAAGGGAUUUUAUUAGAUAAAUUUACCGGCUCAUCUAAAAUGGCCAUCUGGGCACUGGAGAGCUAAGGGGGAUCCAGGAGCAGUCGAAGGCUGAUGGCCUGGAAGCUCACUGCGGGAUCACCAGUGUGAGUCUGCACAAGCCAAAGAGUUUGGGUUGCAUGGCUAAAGAGUCUGCCCAGGAAGGCUGAAGAAGCUGAACACCAAUAUUCAAAAGUAACUGCAAGGUCAGAGCUCCCCCCAAAACAAGGAAAACUUUUCCUUCCGUAUUCUCUCCAAGCUACAAGCCUAUUGGUUGGUGCCACCAGUGGGUCUUCUCCCCUCAGUUUGCUGACUUAUGAGUCAGUCAUCCACAGACACACUCAGAAUUUACUAAUCUGCUAGGCAGUUCUUACUCAAGUUGAUACAUUACAAUUAAUGAUCACAAAGAUGUACAUUUUUUUUUCCAACCAAAUAUAUACUACACAUGGGACUUCCUGGGUUCCACAGGACCCACAUUAAAAAUAACCUGUACUAAUCUAUUUUCUAAAUGCUUAUAUCAGCAAUGAUUUACUAUUAUUGUGUGCUACAGAGCUUCUACUUUAACAUCCUUAUAAUAUGCCAGUGCCUUUCUUCAGGUCUUCAUAAAUUCUCCCAUGGACCGUCUACAACAGCCUUCCGGCUGCUCUCCACCUACAGCGUUAUCCUCCCUCCCAACGCCAUUUCUCUACCAGCAUUCUCCAAACUUUGAAAACUGCACAUCUCUUUAAUUGAAGGAGGAACUAAGCAUGAGUGGUGUUGCAUAAGAGGAGUUCAAAGAUGUCUGCAAGGGAAGGCAGCAAAGGAUUCACCAUGAGACAGUGCUGCUAAAUGAUAUGAUUAAAGUCAUAUAGGAAAAUGACAAAUCAUUCAUCAAGAACCACAACCCGAAGUUACAGGGGUGAUAAAAUGGAGCUGAAAGCCAAAUAAUCCAGUCCCGGUCAUGCAGUUAACUACUCAAAUCCAGUCAUCUCGAGUGUGGUGUGUUCACACACCCUGCUUUCUCUUCUCCGCUGCUCUAUCUACCCGACUUGGUCAGCAGUCUCAUGCAUUACUAACUCUGUCUGGAGACAGCAGCCCAGGUGAAGUAUGCCUUCUAGAAAAGUGAGAAAUUACAGUGCCAAAGACACAGCCCUCUGAGGUGACUUAGAAUCAACUGGGCCGAGAUUCUGCACUUCUAGCAAGCUGCCUUGUGAUCCUAUCAUAUUGCUGCUGGUCCAUGGAUCCAAGCAGAGGAAGCUUAAGAAGACUGUUGUGGACAACAGUAGAUAAGAACUCAUCUUACUUUUCAAAUAAGGCCCUUUUUCUCACAGGUUCUGCGGAAGAAGAAACAAUCAGAGAGAUAACUCUGUGAGUUUUCACAAUAAAUGCAAUCAGCAGCACAAUAAAUUAUACAUUUUCAUCAUCCCUAGUAUACCUCCAUGUCCUUUGUGGCCAACCAGUGAGACCCCUUGAUCUGUUUUCUGCAGAAUGUCAUAUAAAAGAAAUCACAGCAUUUCAAUGCAGUCUUUUGAUAAUGGUUUCUUUCAUUAACUACAGCAUUAAAGCUUUAUUCUUGGUUUAUGUAUUAUUAUCACUUCCUUUUUUCACUGAGUUGUAUUUGCUUAUAUUGAUAUAUCACAUCUUGCUUAUCUAUUCCAUAAUUGAGAGAUUUUUUUUAUUUUGGUUAAUCUAAAAAUGGUAAAAAUGCAUGUAUAAAUUUUUGUGUGAAUGUAGGCUGUAUUUCACUUGACUAACAAGUGAAAUAAAAAUAACAAACAAUGAGAUUGCUGGGUUGUACGUCAAAUGUAUGUUUAUAAGAAACUAUCAAAGUGUUUUCCAUAGUUCUUUUCUUACAGUCUCACCAGAGUUCCAGGUUUAUUUUUGUAGUUUACUCACUCUCUCAAUGUCAUAAAUUAAUUUGCCUAUUCUUGAACAUCAAAUAAUGGAAUUAUUUAUGUGGCUUCUUUUGCUUAAUAUAAAGUUUGUAGAAUUCAUUCAUGUUAUUCCAUGUAAUAAGAGUUUAUUCUUUUUUGCUGAUGAAUAGUAUUCUGUAAUAUGAAUACAAACCUGUUUUGUUUAUUCAUUCAUUUGUUGUUGGACAUUUGGGUUGUAAGAAACAGCAGGGAAGUCACAAUAGUUUUGUGGUGUGUGUGUGUGUGUG